AGGAACUCCUUCGUGGUCUCGG
rnacentral:siRNA from 1 species